AAGAAACCCUCGACUUCUCUCAUGCUAUAGGCAGUGUUUUAAGGAUUAUGGAUAUGGGAUUUGUCUCCAGUGUUGUCAUUUUGUUUUAUUGGCCGCCUACUACUGACUAAAGUGACACUACAUUUAGUGAGUAUCGGGUGUUUGCCAUCUGUAAAAUUUCACCUGAGGUGACAGGGAAUUAAGCUACUUAACCCCAUAAUGUCAGUUGGCGUUCUAUGCCGUCCUGCACAAGCCAGGCUUUAUUGCUGCAGUCUUAAACAGUCCCCCUGCUGCCAGUAAAGCCCUUCAGUGCCAUGUGAUCGCUCUGCCUACAGGGGGACUGCCUUGGAUUUUCAGGGGCCAGAAAGGACCAGGAAGGGGCAUAUUACAUAGAUACCAAUGACAAGGAUGCCCCCAAAAGUGAGUGUGUUAGUAUAACUUCCCUCCAGAGCAUUCAACGCAAUGACCCUGCUAAAGUGCUCUCGGAAGGGCUAAAUGUCCUGUUUUUGUUUCUACACACAAACAAAUGUAAUGAUAUGCCAGUAUCUUGUCUCUGGUGUCCUCAAUAAUGGAAUACCAAAGGACAAAAGUGGAACAAGGCUGUUAAAGUGUGUUGUGUAUGUGUGGGGAUGCUCCCUGUGGUUUUAUAUGUGUUUGGAGGUUAAUUGUGGGAUUGCAUGUGUGUCGGUUGUAUGUGUUUGGAGGUUGCUUGUGGGAUUGCAUGUGACUGAUCCUGUUGUUGUGUGUGUAAAGGGAUCUGUUUGUGAUGUGCUAUGUGUGGCUAGGGGCUGUAGUGUAUUAUAUUUUUUUCAAAUUAUUAUUACCAUAAAUAUUAUAAAUUAAAUAUCACACUCCAAAAUAGCAUCUGUGGUGUAAAUUGUGUAUGUUUUUAUGUGUGUGCAUAGGGGGUGUAGUGUGUAUAUCAUUUUUGUUGCUGAUUUUUGGACCUUUGCUGAAUAUUCCAGUCUCCUUCAGGUCAAUGAGCUGAAGUAGCUGCUGAAAUAGGAAUUGGUUUCUCUGCAUUUUAAAAUAGGUUAGCAAGGGUUCAUAAUUUUCUUUGAAGAAUAUUUCUCCUGCUGAUUCACUGUGAGAAAACGUUUUAUGAAUAUUGGACUUAUUAUUCAGCUUUGGUUGCACAUCAAUUUACAAUGUGUACUUACAAUGUAUAUUUAUAUGGGAAGCAAAGUUAGGUACCAAUUUACUCAUAUUUAAUAAUAAUAAUAAUAAGAAUAUUUAACAUAAUAUAUACAAUCCUGCAUUGUGUGGUGGGAGACGCUAUCCCUGCCUUAUUCUCUGUAAUGUACGGCUUGAGUGACAUUCUGCAGUAUGUGGAAAUUUUCCCAACCAUCCAAGAUUAGUGAGCGUUAACUUAUCAGCUGCGUUUUACAGCUGACAACAAUUUUUUUUCAGGCCUCUCUCCAUAAUCAUAUGGGGGGAAGGAACUGAGGCAACAGAAACUGCACAAUUCUGUCUCCUCAGUUCCUCUCCAAGCAUAUCCCUAUUGAAAGUAGCCAAAUUAAUGGUGGCAGUUGUAUUUGCAAUUAGCAUACAUUUUGGGUAGAGGUACAUGUAAUCAUGACAAACAAUGUAUCCCAUGCAUUAAUCUGCUAACACCUACACUAACCCUAGAGCUGACCUUACACUAAUAUAGAAGAUAUAGAAUUAAAAAGGAUAUACUAUCUAAGGUAAAACAAUGUCAACUCAGUGUUCUGGAGACAUUUUAUUAUGAGCUUAUGAUGAUGUAUCAAGAAACCCUCAAUAGCAUUACUUUCCACAUUACAAACAACCUAACCCUACCCCGCACCUUACUCUAACUCACCAACCAUAAACCCUGAAAAACAUGUAAUUUAACAGACACUCAGAGAAAUUGAGAUACAUGCAUUAUGGGAAAAUAAUGCCCAUUAGGGGUUCUAAAGACACCAUAAUAUCCACCUUUCUAUAACUCGGUAAGAGAUUGUGCCCUUGUAUGAGUAGAGGAAUUAGCAUAGAAUUGGUUACAUUGAGUGGUCUGCUCGGGCUCCAAAUUUAUUAUUUUUAUGACAAUGGUUUACAUCUGCCCUGCAGCAAUAAGGCUAAUAACUCUUAUCUCAAGUGGCAAAACGCGUGAGAGCUUCAAUACCAACAUCAUCUAAAUUGUGCUUACCAAAAUGACGUGCAAGGAUGCAUAUAUCUCACAAUCAAACAUCAAAAGGCAGAGGACUGCUUUGGUUCCAGUUAAUUUUAGCACGAGAAUGGGAUGUCUUUAACUGAUUUAAAACAGUGUUUAGGAUGUAAAGAAAGUUGAAAAGUCAGAACAUAUUAGAUAGACUUUUAUACAUAUAUAUAUGAGACCUUACACAUACUUUAUUCAUUUAACAGCUAUUUACCAUACAUAAUAAAAAAAAAAAUCUAGAUUAUCUUUUUAAUUAUUUUUAUUCAGCUCGUGAGUUGUUUUGUUAUAUUUAACAAAUUAGGCAUAGGAUAUAUUCUACAGAAUCGUUUUUAAUUUUUUUUUUACUUUUCUGAAUCUCUCAUCCAUACAUUUUGUUUCUAUAACUUGUUCUAUAUUGGUCUCUCCCAAAUUGUCCAUUUCAGAAUGUAUUUUUUUUCCCCUAUCACCCAACUCCGGUUUUUGCCUUAAGUUCAAGUUGUAUUUCUUAUAAUCAAAGCAGCAGGAGAUGUUCUGAACCUCAGUGCCUUUUAACACACCCUGUCACCAUUCCAAAUAGCAUGUCCCACUCCCCCCUUACCUUUCCUCCUAUACAAUUUACAUUCUCAAUGCAAUGUAUUAAAAAAAAGAGAGAGAAAAAAAAGCUUUGACAGGCCCAAAAAUGGUCCACAUGGCCUCAGUGUAGAAACCCAUUUCCAUGAUGAAUUGCCCAAAGCAUCUUGAAUCACAAACCGUCUCUUUACGCUCCUCACAAGUUGAUUUUCCUCUUUUUAAAUCUUCUUAAAGCCUCUCUCCUAAUCUUCAGCUGAAGGAGUUAGAAGCAGCGCUCCCCCUCCUUUAAACUAAGAGUCGUAUUAGCAUCCUGGUUGUUGUGCAUCAAAUUUAAAAAUGCAAGGCUGGUAAUAUUUCAAAUCGGCUUCAGUCCCAGCUUUCCUGAUAAGCUCUCUUCCUCUUUUUCGUUGGCUUUAUCUCCCUUUCUCUUUCAGUCUUUCUUUUUUUUUUUUUUUUUUUGAGUGUAUGGGACUGGCCAGUUACGAUAGAAAUUCAUAGGUAUUUGCAUAAGCCAACUUUGUGUUAAAUAUUUUUUUUUUCUAUUUGUUUUUUGUCUCUUCACCCCUGAGAAUUUCAUUUACUAUCAAACAAGUGUAGUAAUUAAUUCCCUUUAUUUUAAUUUUUCUUCUUUAUAUUGUUUGUUCUUUUAGGCUUUGUAGUGUAUUCUUUCUUCUCUUGCUCAGCCCCUCUUAUUUUCUUUGCCGAACCUCUCUGGUUUCUCGCUUACUGUCUAUUCCUCUCCUCUGCCUUCUCAUUCUCUGACUCUUCUCUUUCCUACCUUGUAUGUUUUUUUCUUUGUUGUAAUAUAUAUAUGAAUAUAUACAGAUGCGGCUCUAGACUUUAUGAGGUCUUAGGCGAAACUCAAACAUGAGGCCCCACUAACAAAAAAGUGAAAACAAUAGAGUUGCAAUACAUGCACACUGUCACAUAUACACAUUGAUGCACAGUUUACCUCUGUAUGUGCCUGAGAGUGUGUCUGACAGAGAGUAUCCGUGUGUGUGUAUGUGUGAAUGUAUGUCUCUGUGAGCAUGUUUGCAUUUUUGUCUGGGACAAGGGGGAGGGUGGUGAUGGUGAGAGGGAGGGGGUGAUGGUGAGAGGGAGGAGGUGAUGUGAGAGGGAGGGGGGUGAUGUUAGAGGGAGGGGGUAAUGUGUACACCUGCAACACUAAUACAGUCUGAUGGUGAGAGGGAAGGGGAUGAUGUAAGAGGGAGGGGGGUGAUGGGGAGAGGGAGGGGGUGUGAUGUGAGAGGGGGGUGAUGUCAGAGGGAGGGGGGCGAUGGUGAGAGGGAUGGAGGUGAUGUGAGGGGGGAUGUGAGAGGAAGGGGGGUGAUGGUGAGAGGGGGGUGAUGUGAGAGGGAAGGUGGGGAUGUGAAAGGGAGAGGGGUGAUGGUGAGAGGGAGGGGGGUGAUGUGAGAGGCAGGGGAGUGAUGGGGAAAGGGCGGACUAAAUACCUUUUUUUAUUCCCUGGUGGUCCGGUGGGCUCCCUGGUGGUCCGGAGCUGCAGACCAUGUAUCUCGCAAGACCCGUCAGAGCGUUUCUGUGGUAACCCGUGGCAACGCUCUGAUUGCCCAGUUCUCGCGAGACAAAUGGUCUGCAGCUAUGCACACUGCGGAGCUGCAGACCGGUGUCUGUAAUGGCCAUACUGAGCAUGCCGCCGGGCCCCCUCCUGGUGUUGGGUCCUCGGUCACUGACACAGGACCCGACACAGUCUGCUCUAAAGCGGUUUAGGCGACCGCAAGGCCCUAGCCAGCACGAGGCCUUAGGCAGCAGCCUAAACCACCUAAUUAGAGAGCCGCCUCUGUAUAUAUGUUGUCAUUAUUGUGACAAAGUCCUCUUUUAAUAAGCAAAUGAUUUAAUCUGUACACUAUGCUUUUUAAAUGGCCAGCAAAUAAAUACAGUCUAUUUGGAGUCGGUAGCAAUAAGCAAUCUGUUUAGUGUCAGUGCUUUUUUUUCGCAGAUGAGAUUAAGAGUUGGUUGUAAAGUUCUCAGGACUUAACAUGCAAUUAUGUUUUUUUUUUUUUUCAAACUUGUAUUCUUGAAAUGAAGUCUAAUUCAUUAAUAUUAUGUCACACUUGAUGGGGACAAGGGUUCAAUGGAAAAGUGUUAAAGAGCAAGACUGCGUAGUAUCGGGCAGUGAUAUUGUGAACCAUGCAACACCUAUUUGACACAAAUGUAUUUAUUUUUCUGCAGUAGUGAGCUGUAGGAGAUUAUGUUGGACUUAACUCGUGGCAUCUUUACUUGUUCUGAGCACUCUGCGGCCUUUGCUUGUGAAAAUCAGGCAAGUAGGCUGAAGCAAUCCGGGCCGCACUUUUGCUGCAUAUUCCAUGACACAAAAAAGUGACUGACUCUAAAUACUAUUUUUUAAAAAUGUGCACUCAUCUUCUGCAAGCUUUUUGCUUAAUCUGUGCUUUUUGCUGUAGACUGGGCUGAUAAAUUGGCAGAUACAAUAAAGAUAAAUAUUGCUAAAUACCUUGUUUUUCCGUUGGCUGCAAAUGGCUGCUAGGGCAUAGACCGGAGGCUGCUUUCAAUUCAACUAGGCCUCCUUUAAAACAGAGGUAAGCAACCUUUGGUAUUCCAGUUGCUAAGAAACAAGUCCUGCACUCAAACUCCUAUCACUCCUGGGUGGCAGCAAUGACCAUACACAUCAGCCAAAAUACAUAUAGUAAAAACCAAAGAAAAAAAACGUACCUGCGCUCUUUCCACAUCCCUAUGUAUUUUUAAACAAAUUGAGGUUUUUAGUUACCUCCAAUGGCCAUGAGAGGGUAUGUCCACCUGCCACGUCAAGGCAGAUAUCAAAUGCUGUUGACUACAUCUCCAUUGAUGCGUUACCAGCAUUAUGGCUGUAAUAGCAUUAUGGGAGAUGUAGUCUACAACAUGUGAAAUUACAAAUAUUGCCUACCUCUGCUACAAAACCUUCCUGCUUUUAACUAAUUUGCUUUUGGACAGAACACCGAGCAUGAUGGGUGAUUUGCAGGAGUCCAUAGACAUUCCAUACAUCCACCAAUGUAACUUGAUACUAGAUAAAUAUUUUUUUCUCUCUAUAGCUGUCAAUCUAUAUAAUUUGUAUCAAUUUGACUAUCACAAUAUACAGAUGAAAUGAUUUGAAUGUUAUAUCAAUACUACGCAUGAAAAAGUCGGUUUAAAUACCAAGCUUAUGCAUUAUGAUUCCUAAUUAGUAAAUGUAACGAAUACAAAUAUUCCUAAUUAAAAUGUUAAAGUAAUAUUGUUUGGUUGGGUGGAUUGUGUUUUUCGUUUAAUGCUGCCCAGCUGGUUUUGAGAUUCAUUGCUGUACACCUGCAACACUAAUACAGUCUGAUGAUAAUUCACUCAUUGCAUUCACACGUGGCAGCGAAUUUCAGUGUGUGUAGAUCCCAGCUAUUUCUCCCAGGUAAAGCUGAGACGACCUGACUGAGCUGUCAUUUUCAAUCUGUCACGCAGGUUUGAUAUUGUAUCCAGCUGUCCCAUGGCUUGUGGCUUUUCGUGAAGACAGACGUCUGAGUGAGAUCAAAGCUGGAUCAUAUAAUAUAUGGGACUUGAAGGCUUUACAUAAACUAGAAGAGUUUGAUUUAAACCAGAUAUUAAGGACCUGAUUUAGAGUUGGCUAACGAAAGAGCAGAACCACUGAGUGGUUGCAAAAUGUAUUUUAUAAAAAUAAAAACGUAUAUUUUGCUUUGUAGAAAAACAGGUGCAAUCGCAUUUUUGAUUGGUGAUGAUAGAUUAGAAUUCCAG